UCGGGAACUGGAGAGUGGCGCACGGGUGAGUAACGCGUGGGGACCUACCUCUUAGUGGGGGAUAACGGUUGGAAACGACCGCUAAUACCGCAUACGCCCUUCGGGGGAAAGAUUUAUCGCUAAGAGAUGGACCCGCGUUGGAUUAGAUAGUUGGUGAGGUAACGGCUCACCAAGUCAGCGAUCCAUAGCUGGUUUGAGAGGAUGAUCUGCCACACUGGGACUGAGACACGGCCCAGACUCCUACGGGAGGCAGCAGUGGGGAGUAUUGGACAAUGGGCGGAAGCCUGAUCCAGCCAUGCCGCGUGAGUGAAGAAGGCCUUCGGGUUGUAAAGCUCUUUCAGAUGCGAAGAUGAUGACGGUAACAUCAGAAGAAGCCCCGGCUAAUUUCGUGCCAGCAGCCGCGGUAAUACGAAAGGGGCAAGCGUUGUUCGGAUUUACUGGGCGUAAAGGGCACGCAGGCGGUCUUGCCAGUCAGGGGUGAAAGCCCGGGGCUCAACCCCGGAACUGCCUCUGAUACUGCAGGACUAGAGACUAGGAGAGGGUGGUGGAAUUCCCAGUGUAGAGGUGAAAUUCGUAGAUAUUGGGAGGAACACCAGAGGCGAAGGCGGCCACCUGGACUAGAUCUGACGCUCAG
rnacentral:rRNA from 1 species